rnacentral:tRNA from 1 species
UCCCUUGUGGUCCAGUGGCUAAGACUCUGCAUUCCCAAUGAAGGGAGCCCAGGUUUGAUUCCUGGGCAGGGAA